GAGGCCUUGCAGGAUGUUUAUGGUGUGCCGGAGAAGGAGUCUUUUAGCUCUGGACUCUUCCAGUCUCCCUCUACUGUGACCCAUCCCUGCAGGCGGUCUUUGUAGCCUUUGCCUGUCAAACCGAGGGUUUCUCUACGCAGCCCUGCCUGUCCUGGAACUUUGUUUGUGAACCAGACUGACAUUGAACUCACAGAGAUCACCCUGCCUCUGCCUCCCAAAUGCUGGGAUUAAAGACAUGUAUCACCAUUUCCUGCAUAGGCUUCAACAGGCAGGAAGAGAAAGAGUGCCCAGAAGUCACCCUCAGUUCCUGAAAGCAUUGGCCCAGAAAUGACACAGAUUCCUGCCAACAUCCCACAGGCAAAAUUGCAUACAUGGCCACACCUGGAUGUAAAGGGAGCUGGUAAUGUAAAUCGUGCCUGAAUAGCUGCUUCCUGGAAGGAGUCUGUAUCACAAGGGGUGUGGACUCUGGUUGUCAUACAAUGUAUGUCAUGCACAGGUGUGCACACGAAGCUGUCUGUCUGGGGUGGCUGUGUGUGCCAAGCACAGAUGGAGAAGAGACACUUUUCAUUUGGAACAAUUAGUACUGUG
rnacentral:lncRNA from 1 species